GUGAGGAAUAUUGCGCAAUGGAGGCAACUCUGACGCAGCCAUGCCGCGUGCAGGAAGAAGGCGCUACGCGUUGUAAACUGCUUUUAACCGGGAAGAAACCCCAGGACGUGUCCUGGGUUGACGGUACCGGAGGAAUAAGCACCGGCUAACUUCGUGCCAGCAGCCGCGGUAAUACGAAGGGUGCAAGCGUUAUCCGGAUUCAUUGGGUUUAAAGGGUGCGUAGGCGGAGCGUUAAGUCAGUGGUGAAAUCCUGCAGCUUAACUGUAGACUUGCCAUUGAUACUGGCGCUCUUGCGUGCGCUUGAAGUGGGCGGAAUGUGCCGUGUAGCGGUGAAAUGCUUAGAUAUGGCACAGAACACCAAUUGCGAAGGCAGCUCACUAAGGCGAUACUGACGCUGAGGCACGAAAGCGUGGGGAUCGAACAGGAUUAGAAACCCCGGUAGUCC
rnacentral:rRNA from 1 species